rnacentral:rRNA from 1 species
GAUGAACGCUGGCGGCGUGCCUAAUACAUGCAAGUCGAGCGAACGGACGAGGAGCUUGCUCCUCUGACGUUAGCGGCGGACGGGUGAGUAACACGUGGAUAACCUACCUAUAAGACUGGGAUAACUUCGGGAAACCGGAGCUAAUACCGGAUGAUAUAUUGAACCGCAUGGUUCAAUAGUGAAAGACGGUCUUGCUGUCACUUAUAGAUGGAUCCGCGCUGCAUUAGCUAGUUGGUAAGGUAACGGCUUACCAAGGCAACGAUGCGUAGCCGACCUGAGAGGGUGAUCGGCCACACUGGAACUGAGACACGGUCCAGACUCCUACGGGAGGCAGCAGUAGGGAAUCUUCCGCAAUGGGCGAAAGCCUGACGGAGCAACGCCGCGUGAGUGAUGAAGGUCUUCGGAUCGUAAAACUCUGUUAUUAGGGAAGAACAAAUGUGUAAGUAACUAUGCACGUCUUGACGGUACCUAAUCAGAAAGCCACGGCUAACUACGUG